rnacentral:rRNA from 1 species
CAGCGUUAUCCGGAUUUACUGGGUGUAAAGGGCGAGUAGGCGGAUUGGCAAGUUGGGAGUGAAAUGUCGGGGCUUAACCCCNGGAACUGCUUCCAAAACUGUUGAUCUUGAGUGAUGGAGAGGCAGGCGGAAUUCCCAGUGUAGCGGUGAAAUGCGUAGAUAUUGGGAGGAACACCAGUGGCGAAGGCGGCCUGCUGGACAUUAACUGACGCUGAGGAGCGAAAGCGUGGGGAGCAAACAGGAUUAGAUACCCUGGUAGUCCACGCCGUAAACGAUGGAUACUAGGUGUGGGAGGUAUUGACCCCUUCCGUGCCGCAGUUAACACAUUAAGUAUCCCACCUGGGGAGUACGACCGCAAGGUUGAGACUCAAAGGAAUUGACGGGGGCCCGCACAAGCAGCGGAGCAUGUGGUUUAAUUCGAAGCAACGCGAAGAACCUUACCUAGACUUGACAUCUCCUGCAUUACUCUUAAUCGAGGAAGUCCCUUCGGGGACAGGAUGACAGGUGGUGCAUGGUUGUCGUCAGCUCGUGUCGUGAGAUGUUGGGUUAAGUCCCGCAACGAGCGCAACCCUUAUUGUUAGUUGCCAUCAUUAAGUUGGGCACUCUAGCGAGACUGCCCGGGUUAACCGGGAGGAAGGUGGGGAUGACGUCAAAUCAUCAUGCCCCUUAUGUCUAGGGCUACACACGUGCUACAAUGGUCGGUACAAUAAGACGCAAGCCCGCGAGGGGGAGCAAAACUGGAAAACCGAUCUCAGUUCGGAUUGUAGGCUGAAGCUCGCCUACAUGAAGCUGGAGUUGCU